rnacentral:rRNA from 1 species
UGGUCAAGCGAAACACAGCUGACGGUGGAUACCUAGACACGCAGAGGCGAAGAAGGACGUGGCGACCGACGAAAAGCUUCGGGGAGCUGGCAGCAAGCGCUGAGCCGAAGAUAUCCGAAUGGGGCAACCCUUAGUACAGCCUGUUGAAUCCAUAGACAGGUAUGAGCCAACCCAGCCAACUGAAACAUCUUAGUAGCUGGAGGAAAAGAAAUCAAACGAGAUUCUCCCAGUAGUGGUGAGCGAAAGGAGAAGAGCCUAAACCAGAGUAGUUUGUAUUCUGGGGUAGUGGGACAGCGACAUGGAAGCACUAGACUAGACGAAACACGUGACAAAGUGUACCAAAGAGGGUGAUAGUCCCGUAGUCGAAAGUUGAAGUGAUACUAGCUGAAUCCCGAGUAGCUAGGGACACGGGAAAUCCCUAGUGAAUCAGCCGAGACCACUCGGUAAGGCUAAAUACUACUGCGUGAGCGAUAGAGCAACAGUACCGCGAGGGAAAGGUGAAAAGAACCCCGAUAAGGGGAGUGAAAUAGAACAUGAAACCGUCAGUUGACAAGCAGUGGAAGGAUGAUUCAACGUCCGACCGCGUGCCUGUUGAAGAAUGAGCCGGCGAGUUAUAGUCACUGGUAUGGCGAAUAGCCACAGCGAAAGCGAGUCUGAAGAGGGCGAAUUAUCAGUGUAUAUAGACCCGAACCCGGGUGAUCUAACCAUGGCCAGGAUGAAGCUUGGGUAACACCAAGUGGAGGUCCGCACCGACCGAUGUUGAAAAAUCGGCGGAUGAGCUGUGGUUAGGGGUGAAAUGCCAAUCGAACCCGGAGCUAGCUGGUUCUCCCCGAAAUGUGUUGAGGCGCAGCGGUAAGUAAUAAUUGCUGGGGGUAAAGCACUGUUUCGGUGCGGGCGGCCUCAAGCUGUACCAAAUCGAGACAAACUCAGAAUACCAGCAACAAUCUUACUAGACAGACGGUGGGGGAUAAGCUUCAUCGUCAAGAGGGAAACAGCCCAGACCGCCAGCUAAGGUCCCCAAAUCAAAGUUAAGUGGCAAAGGAGGUGGGAGUGCACAGACAACCAGGAGGUUUGCCUAGAAGCAGCCAUCCUUGAAAGAGUGCGUAAUAGCUCACUGGUCAAGCGCUCCUGCGCCGAAAAUGAACGGGACUAAACUUUGUACCGAAGCUGCGGACUUGUAUUGAUUUACAAGUGGUAGGGGAGCGUUCUGUGUUAGGUUGAAGCACUAGCGGCAAGCAGGUGUGGACGAAACAGAAGUGAGAAUGUCGGCUUGAGUAGCGCAAAUAUUGGUGAGAAUCCAAUACCCCGAAACCCUAAGGGUUCCUCCACAAGGCUCGUCCGUGGAGGGUUAGUCAGGACCUAAGGCGAGGCCGAACGGCGUAGUCGAUGGACAACGGGCGAACAAUCCCGUACUGAGAAUUAGUUGUGCAGAGGGACGGAGAAGGCACGCACCAGCCGAAUGUUGGUUAUCGGCGUAAUUAACCGAGGCGAUGAGAAGCGGCGAAAACGCUUCGAGCUGGGGUUAAAAAUCCGAGGGUCUACGGACCCGAAGUGGUAGCGGUCAAGCUUCCAAGAAAAGCUCUAAACACGUUAACUAAUUGUCACCUGUACCCGAAACCGACACAGGUAGGGAGGUUGAGUAAACCAAGGGGCGCGAGAUAACUCUCUCUAAGGAACUCGGCAACAUGGCCCCGUAACUUCGGAAGAAGGGGUGCCUACGCAAGUAGGUCGCAGUGAAGAGAUCCAGGCGACUGUUUACCAAAAACACAGGUCUCCGCUAAGUCGAAUGACGAUGUAUGGGGGCUGACGCCUGCCCAGUGCCGGAAGGUUAAGGAAGUCGGUCAGGGCCUUGAGCCUAAA